rnacentral:rRNA from 1 species
AUACGUAGGUGGCAAGCGUUGUCCGGAUUCAUUGGGUUUAAAGGGUGCGUAGGCGGCCAUUUAAGUCAGUGCUGAAAUACCCCGGCUUAACCGGGGGGGUGGCAUUGAUACUGGGUGGCUUGAGUGCUAGCGAGGCAGGCGGAAUUGACGGUGUAGCGGUGAAAUGCUUAGAUAUCGUCAAGAACACCGAUAGUGUAGACAGCUUGCCAGGGAGCAACUGACGCUGAGGCACGAAAGUGUGGGGAUCAAACAGGAUUAGAUACCCUGGUAGUCCACACUGUAAACGAUGAUCACUCGCUGUUGGCGAUACACAGUCAGCGGCCAAGCGAAAGCGUUAAGUGAUCCACCUGGGGAGUACGCCGGCAACGGUGAA